GAUGAACGCUGGCGGCGUGCCUAAUACAUGCAAGUCGAGCGAACAGACGAGGAGCUUGCUCCUCUGACGUUAGCGGCGGACGGGUGAGUAACACGUGGAUAACCUACCUAUAAGACUGGGAUAACUUCGGGAAACCGGAGCUAAUACCGGAUAAUAUAUUGAACCGCAUGGUUCAAUAGUGAAAGACGGUUUUGCUGUCACUUAUAGAUGGAUCCGCGCCGCAUUAGCUAGUUGGUAAGGUAACGGCCUACCAAGGCAACGAUGCGUAGCCGACCUGAGGGGGUGAUCGGCCACACUGGAACUGAGACGCGGUCCAGACUCCUACGGGAGGCAGCAGUAGGGAAUCUUCCGCAAUGGGCGAAAGCCUGACGGAGCAACGCCGCGUGAGUGAUGAAGGUCUUCGGAUCGUAAAACUCUGUUAUUAGGGAAGAACAAAUGUGUAAGUAACUAUGCACGUCUUGACGGUACCUAAUCAGAAAGCCACGGCUAACUACGUG
rnacentral:rRNA from 1 species